UGUGUUACACACUGUGUGUCUCUCUCAGCCAGUCUCUGUGUUACACACUGUGUCUCUCUCUCAGCCAGUCUCUGUGUUACACACUGUGUGUCUCUCUCUCAGCCAGUCUCUGUGUUACACACUGUGUGUCUCUCAGCCAGUCUCUGUGUUACACACUGUGUCUCUCUCUCAGCCAGUCUCUGUGUUACACACUGUGUGUCUCUCUCUCAGCCAGUCUCUGUGUUACACACUGUGUCUCUC